rnacentral:tRNA from 1 species
AAAACUAUAGUUUAAUGAAAAUAUUAAAUUUGCAUUUUAAAGAUACAAGUGUGUUAGUUUUA